UUUUUUCCUCUGUAAAACUGGAAAAUUUAUACUGGAUCUGCUACUCUGAUGAGAUAAAGUGGGAGGUGCUUGUUAUUUUUUGGGUGAGGAGAAAAGAUGAAGAACAGUGGAGAAAAGUGGAGAAAAGAUGAAGUUUAUGCAGCAAAUUGCUAACUGGAACAAGGUUCCAUACAGAUAGCCAGCCAUGGGAGUCAGAAUUUGAACUCAGAUCUGGUCUGGUUCUGAAGCCUCUCUUCUUUCCAGCUGUGAGACAAAGGAGCAAAUAUGAGAAGCACCUUUUGCUCACUUCUGCUUGCCAGCAGAAUUUCACAAAAGCCCUGGACUGUGAAGAUGUUUGGAAAGAUGCUUUGAAGACAAAACCUUUAACAGGGUUAGUGUUUAUGCCUCUGUAAUCUACAACCGGAUGCGCUCUUACACCCAAGCCUUGAUGGGAUUCUGCUGCGACGGAAAUUCUGAGCAAAUUUGAUGUGAUUGUGCAGG